rnacentral:lncRNA from 1 species
UGUGGAGUGAUUGAUUAUAACCCUAUUUGAUUUUGAUGAGCUCAAAGCAUUUGAGUAUAUCUUUUGUUUACUAAUGAAUUCAAUCGAGUGUUUCAGUGAAAAUCUUGUGAAUUUAUGGUUAAGUGUCUCUAGAUUUGGUUCAAGAUAUUUUGGAUAAGUUAAGAAGUCAAUUUGAACCAAAGCCUGAGACUCGAGUCGACUCCGGAAUAUUACGAGUCGACUC